CAGGCUUCUCUCUGAUUUAACAAAGCAACGUGUACGAAAUGUUUCGGUGUCUCGCAAAAGUACAGUUAUACAAAAUUCCACUUGGAAAGCAGAAGGCAGUUCGUGUUUAAGGCUAAUAUUACAUGCGUCGUACGACGAGUAUUAUCGGACAUAUUGAUUGUCGGAUAGAAUUCUUCUAAGAUCCCUGAUUUUUCCUUCAGAUACCCCAAAAAUUCUCUAUCCAACAGCCAAUUAGAACGUCCGUCAAGCUUGCCGUACGAUACGUGUAAUAUCGACCUAAGACGCGACGAGUAACAAACUUUAAGAGGCACAAGCGAAUCGACCAAUCACAACUGAGAAUUUCAAAAUUUCGUAAUGCUUGAUUGCGAUUGGCCGCUUGACUUAUUGCUUUAAUUCCCGCUUUCGUGCUCUAUCACUUUUGUGAAAGGCCGAGACGGACUGGCAGGAAUUUGCAUCGCUGAGGAUAUUUUUGACGAUGGAUCGCAAAAUUAAUACUGCACGAUCUCUCAGGUGUUUAGCGUUGCUCUCGGCGGCGUUCCUUCCAAGUGAACACCAACAAACAGCAACAUUAUAUGAAUGUUAUAAUUCCCAAUUAACAGUUACAAUAUAAUUGUCACAUAAUACUCGUAUUAUAUUGCAUUUACGUUGUCGAGGAAAUUGUAGCGUUGAUGUUAUGUUGUUGCUAGUUGGUGUUUACCGAAUUCACUGGCUUGGUGUUCGUGUAAAGAGUGAAAUCACGAAGCAUGAAAGCGUAUUGUAUAGAUACCGGAUCCCGUAGUAUUUUGGAGUGUGAGUACCAUUAACUUUUGAUUAUAAUAUCAUACAUUGAUUAUACAUUGUAUCUGAUUAUAUAUUAUACUUAGAACGUAAUGAAGUGAACGUAAUUAGAACGUAUGUGAAAUGAUGUGCUCGAGUAAACUAUAUAAAAGAUUGAAAGGCAUCUGAAAAAGAUCAGCUUAUUCCAUUUUUAUAGCAUCAUUUAGAGGCGUUCCCAUUGCCUGAUUUAUGACUGUCAAUUUCGCACACGUUCUGGAAUUAUUUCGUCGCCUAGUCUCUAGAUAUGAGUUACGUUACGCCUGGUGCUGAAAUCCGUGUUCUACGUAAAAUAUAUAAUGGCGAUCGUUCUUUUUUAUUCACGAAAAUGCAUAGCAAAGAGAAAUGAGGAACAUACAUGAAAAAUAGACGUUUAUAGUAAAGAGAAUAUACUUUCGCGAUUUAAAUGAAAUAAAAUAUAUAAUAGUGUUCGCUCUUUUAUUUAUGGAAAUGCAUAGUGAAAAAUAACGGAAAGCAAAUAUAUAAGAAACACACACACACACAAAAUAAAAGUUCAAAGUUAAAAGAAAUAUACUUUCAUGAUCUUCUUCAUGGUGGUCUUUUAAAAUAAAUCAGUAAAGACGUUUCUGAUUGAAUCAAUAAAUUCUUAAAGUGUAAUUCUUCAAUCAGUAAAUCUUUCUGAUUGAAUCAGCGAAAGGAAUUUUCACCAAUGAACAGUGAAUACUUAUUGAUUUUCAAUGGAAACAUUCUACUUUACUUCGCCUUAUCUAUCGAUUCGCUUAUAUCUCAUUGACCAGUGGAAGUAAGAUUUCAUUACCAAAUUAUUAGUACAUAAAUACAUUAUUUGCUGUGCCAGACCUAGCUUUCUAUAUUUAUGAUAAUUGAAUUAAUUUCUAUACACAUUGCAUGUA